UCUAGAACUCGAGAUAUGGGCUGAACAAUGAACAAUGUCUUGGCUGCAGGAUAAAUUCUGACUUCUAUUUUGUUGCUACAAUUUGAACUUGAAAACAACCAUUUUGAAUCUUGGACUCUUCAUGAAAGUUUUAGGUCUAUGUCUUAGCUUUCCAUC
rfam:Populus trichocarpa scaffold_18_contig_196, whole genome shotgun sequence.